GUGAUACACUUGUGCAUACAAAAUGAAGUUUUUUGCAAUGAUGCUGUCAAUCUUAGCUAUUGUGCUCACCGUUGUGGGUGCUAUGAGUACUACGAGAGCAGGUAUAAAGGAACAUGACCAUGAUCGCGCCGGUUGCAACAGGUCUGGGGGUCCGCCACCUCCCCCACCGGCUCCCACUAACACUACCACGGGCUAGACGUACAGAGGCCAUGACUUCGAAAGCAAUCAAUACGACAUCCACGCGUUAUACUAUCUAAUAAACCUGGGCAUAUCGAAAA